rnacentral:rRNA from 1 species
UACGAAGGGGGCUAGCGUUGCUCUGAAUCACUGGGCGUAAAGCGCACGUAGGCGGGUCUGUAAGUAGAGGGUGAAAUCCCAGGGCUCAACCCUGGAACUGCCUUCUAGACUGCAGGCCUCGAGGUCAGGAGAGGCGAGUGGAAUACCGAGUGUAGAGGUGAAAUUCGUAGAUAUUCGGUGGAACACCAGUGGCGAAGGCGACUCGCUGGACUGAUACUGACGCUGAGGUGCGAAAGCGUGGGGAGCAAACAGG